CGUAGGGCGCGAGCGUGGUCCGGAUUUAUUGGGCGUAAAGAGCUCGUAGGCGGUGUGUCACGUCGGCCGUGAAAACCUGCAGCUUAACUGUGGGCGUGCGGUCGAUACGGGCAUCACUGGAGUUCGGCAGGGGAGACUGGAAUUCCUGGUGUAGCGGUGAAAUGCGCAGAUAUCAGGAGGAACACCGGUGGCGAAGGCGGGUCUCUGGGCCGAUACUGACGCUGAGGAGCGAAAGCGUGGGGAGCAAACAGG
rnacentral:rRNA from 1 species